rnacentral:misc_RNA from 1 species
GCCUACUGUUUAAUUUUGAGGGUUCGUUUUUACGAAUACUCAAAAUCCUCCUUUCUAAGGAGAAUUACCUACUGUUUAAUUUUGAGGGUUCGUUUUUACGAAUACUCAAAAUUAGCACUUUAAGCAACGGGAUUUAUCCGUUGGCGCUGUGCUUUAGCACUUUGAAAACUGCAUAUAUAUUUAGUGAUAUGACAUCUAAUUUGUAAUAUAUAAAGCUGAUAACUUUUUAAAAUUAUCGAAGUUGAUAGCUUCUAAUCUAUCAAACCUUUUUAACUGGUCAA